rnacentral:rRNA from 1 species
UACGUAGGGUGCAAGCGUUAUCCGGAAUUAUUGGGCGUAAAGAGCUCGUAGGCGGUUUGUCGCGUCUGCUGUGAAAACUGGAGGCUCAACCUCCAGCCUGCAGUGGGUACGGGCAGACUAGAGUGCGGUAGGGGAGAGUGGAAUUCCUGGUGUAGCGGUGGAAUGCGCGGAUAUCAGGAGGAACACCGAUGGCGAAGGCAGAUCUCUGGGCCGUAACUGACGCUGAGGAGCGAAAGCAUGGGGAGCGAACAGG